UUUUUGAGAUGGAGGAGUUUCACUCUUGUUGUCCAGGCUGGAGUACAAUGGCAUGAUCUCGGCUCACUGCAACCUCCACCUCCCGGGUUCAAGCGAUUCUCUUGCCUCAGCCUCCUGAGUAGCUGGGAUUACAAGUAUGUGCCACCACGCCCGGCUAAUUCUGUAUUUUUUUAGUAGAGACAGGGUUUCUCCAUGUUGGUAAGGCUGGUCUCAAACUCCCAACCUCAGGUGAUCUGCCCGCCUCGGCCUCCCAAAGUGCUGGGAUUACAGGCGUGAACCACCACGCCCAGCCAAUAUUACUUUUUUCAUGAAAAUGUGUUUUACCUCUCCUGUUAAACCACAAACUUCUGAGGGCCAGGUCUCCUCCUCUGGAAUUUUCCAAUGAAGCCUAAAAUAAGCCUAUGUAAGCUGUCGGAGCUCAGUUACUGCUGUAACUGCUAAUACAAAACCAAGGAAUAGGCCAGGUGUGAUGGCUCACACCUGUAAUCCCAACACUGUGGGGGACCAAGGCCUAGGAUCACUUGAGCCUAGAAGUUCAAGACCAGCCUGAGCAAUACAGUGAGACUCUGUCUCCAAAAAAAAAAAGAAAGCCAGGCAUGGUGGCGUGCACCUGUGGUCCCAGCUACUCAGAAGGCUGAGGCAGGAGCUAUGUGAUCAGAUGGAAAAGAAGACAGAGUUACAUAAAGAGUGUAAAGUGGGAGGCAGAGGCAGGAGGACCACUUGAGACCAGGAGUUCCAGGCUGCAGUAAGCUAUGAUUGCACCACCAUACUCCAGCCUGGGCAACAGAGUGAAACCCUAUCUGAAAAAAAAAAAAAAACACACACACACACACACAAGGAAUCUCAGGAGCUAGGAAGGCCCUCAGUAGUUCUGGUCCAUCAUUCUUCCCAUACUAAAAUUUUCCUCUCUGUGCUUUCAGUGACAGACAGCAUAGUGGUCAAAGCACCAGCUUUGGAGACAGAAGACCUGGAUUCAAAUUCCAGCUCCCUCACUUAGCAGCUGUAUGGCCUUAGGCAAGGUGCUUCACCUCUCUCAGCCUCAACAACUGCAUGUGUAUAAUUCAAACAAUCUUAAUAAAAAUUAAAAAGCCUGAGAGUAAAAUGAAACACUUAUAAAGUGCCUAGCACAGUCCCUGUAUACAGAAAAUGUUACACAAAUUUAGCUAGUACUAUAGAUUCUAUUUUCAAUUCCAUAGAUAAUUCUUAACUACCAGAAGGUCUAAUAGUAAGCCAAUAAUCAGGUUCUAAAAAAUGUUCCCUGAUACCUCAAGUCUACCUUCUGUUCAUCGGGGGGCACCCCAGGAUUCUCUAGCUAAAGUAAGCUAAGUAUUCCCAGUUCCCUUCCAUUCAAUACGUAUCACUGUUUCCCAGUCCUUCAAUAUCGUGGCUACCUGGUUCUGUACUUUGUCAGCAUAGCUAGAGUUUUGCACAUCUGCACCCUAACAGAGCAUAUAUACUCAUAGGCAUAAUGAGGGUUCCCUGUAUAUUUAUUUCUUCCAUCCUGCUCCAACUAUUACAAAGAAGGUUGACCACAGAAAAGAUUGACUGGAGAAGGCAAUGGGGAGAAGGUGGAACAUGUUAGAGUUGAUUACGCAGUGGUAAUGAGCAAAGGCUUUGGAACAUUCUUGGCAUUGAAUCCCAGCUCUGCCUCUUACUAGCUGGGCAGUCUCAGUUUUCUCAUCUAUUAAAUGAGAGUAACAACAAUAUCCAUCACAAUGUGUUGUGAGACUUAUAUGAUUCAAUAUAUGUAAAGUGCUUAAAAUAUACUAAAAUCUCAAUAAAUGUUAGACACAUACAUUAUUAUUAUUGCUAUUCACAUAUUUAAAGGGCUUAUUCUACCUUGCUCCAAAGGACAUAUCCAGAACCAGGCAAUAUAAGUUAAGGCCAUUCAGACAUUAAGUAAUCACUUUUUUUUUCUUUUUUUUUUGAGACAGAGUCACCCUGGCUGGGGUGCAAUGGCGCGAUCUCUGCUCCCUGCAGCCUCUGCCUCCCAGGUUCAAGUGAUGCUCCUGCCUCAGCCUCAUGAGUAGCUGGGAUUACAGGCGCUUGCCACCACGCCUGGCUA
rnacentral:lncRNA from 1 species